AGGCUGGAGUGCUGUCGUGCGAUCUCGGCUCACUGCAACCUCCGCCUCCCGGGUUCAAGCGGUUUUCGUGCCUCGGCCUCCCGAGGAGCUGGAUCUACGGACCUCCUCCUCAGAUGUGGACCGUACAGAUGAUGCUCCAUCGGUUACUCUGAUCCUGGCUUUGGGACUGCCAGAUAAAACUGGGAGAAACCCUACAUUUACUCUUACUGUAACGUAUUGGCUUGAAACUGCAGCAAGACCAACUCCCCUCCUCCCCUUCCUCCUCCUCAGCAUAUUCACCAUGAAGACAUGAGGAUGAAGACCUUUAUGAUGCUCCACUUCCACUUAAUGAAUAAUGGAGUCUCACCCUGUUGCCCAGGCUGGAGUGCCGUGGCAAGAUCUUGGCUCAAUGCAACCCUUGCCUCCUGGGUUCAAGUGAUUCUCCUGCCUCAGCCUCCUGAGCACAGAGACAGGGUCUUCCUUUGUCACCCAGGCUGGAGUGCAGGAGUGUGAUCACAGCUCACAGUAAGCUCAAACUCCUGGGCGCAAGCAAUCUUCCUGCCUUGGCCUCCCAAGUAGGUAGGACUACAGGCGCACACCACCAUGCCAGCUAAUUAAAAUGUUUUAAAUUUAUUUUUGGUAAAUGGGUCUUGCUAUGUUGCCCAUAGGCUUUGUGCUAUGUUAAGCUAGUAAUUAUAGUGAACAUUCUUGUCUUGGGUACCUGAGGUUUUUCCAUUAUGUAUACUGGUGGUUACAGAUUUUUUGGAAUAUAACCUUUACCAAAAUAAGAAACUUUUGAUUCCUGCCUCCUUAACUGUUUUCCAAAAAUCACAAAUGGAUAUACUUUACCAAAUGUCUUUUAUUAAUAGACUGAGCAAAGGAAAUGACUUUUCUGUCUAUGAAUAUGGUGAAUUAUAGCAACAAUAUAUUUUAUUAUAUUGAACCACCCUAGUAUUCCAAGGAUUCCCUAUUAGAUCUUGAUGUAUCAUUACUAGCAUAAUCAUUAUUAUUAUUGUUAUUAUUAUACAUAUUUUUAGAGACAGGGUCUUGCUCUGUUGCACAGGCCAAAAUGCAGUGGUGCAAUCAUAGCUUACUGCAGCCUCAAACUCCUGGGCUCAAGUGAUCCUCCUGCGUCAGCCUCCCCAGUAGCUGAGACUACAGAUGCUCACCACCACACCUGGCUAAUUUUUUAAUUUUUUGUGGAGACAGGAUCUCAGUAUGUUGUCCACACUGGUCUUGAACUCCUGGCCUCAGGCGAUCCUCU
rnacentral:lncRNA from 1 species